rnacentral:lncRNA from 1 species
GGGAGCGUUGUGAUUUUCAUGGGAAAGAACAGGCGAGGCAGGGUAAGCAGGUUUAGGAUUGGCUGGUCUGAGUAAUUCCGGCAGGCCCUGGGCAUGGGACGGUCCCUACUUGUCUGGUAUCUGGCUCUGGGGUGAUUAGGGCAAGCGGACAGUGGCCAAGAGCAUAGUGGGGUGGCGGGGUGUGAGCUCUGGCUUAAUGGCUUUGCAUAUGAAAGGUGUUUGCACUCAGUCAUUUGCUCUCUUUAGGACCUGGUUAAAUGGGGAGAAGCAGCCUCUCUAGGGUCAGCAGGGCAUCAAGAGGCCAAAGCAAAUUAAUCCAUGAUUAAUGGAGAGGGUUUAGGAACUGCAAGGCUGGGCUCAGGAGGGCCAUGAUCCCGCUGCUGUGUCUGCCGGGCUCUGGCUUCUCCUGGAGGAGAGAGUCUGCACAGAAUGCUUUGGAUUCCCGAGAGCUGGCUUCCUCUGUGUGUUGUCACUGACUCCAGCACAGCUGCUGGCAGCACAGCCUGGAGAGACAUUUCCCCUUCGCAUUCAAAGACACAGAUCUCAUCACAGGUCCCCGUGGAGCUGUGGACUUCAGCGCAUGUCACAAAAGUUCUCUAUGAUGAUGAUGGUGGUGGUGACCUGCUCCACAAAGCCUGCUGGGACCAUAGUACCCAUCCCAAGAUGACCAACUGGGUCAGAGGCAGCCACAGGCUUUCCUUCUCAGGCAAGGGUCCCUCCUUUCAAGGAAACAGAUUUGUGCUCAUCGUUACAUUCCCCACCUGGAUGUCCAAAAUCCCAAAUGCCAUGGCUGGAUUAUAGAGCAAUGUCAAUCUCUUAAAACUGGAUUCAGACCCCGGGCGUGGUGGCUCACGUUUGUAAUCCCAGCACUUUGGGAGGCUGAGGCAGGCAGAUCACGAGGUCAGGAGAGAUCAUCCUGGACAACAUGGUGAAAACCCAUCUCUACUAAAAAUACAAAAAUUAGCUGGGCAUGGUGGUGGACGCAUGCAAUCCCAGCUACUUGGGAGGCUGAGGCAGGAGAAUCACUUGAACCAGGGAGUCAGACGUGGCAGUGAACCGAGAAGGCACCA